UGGGGAACUUUGGACAAUGGGCGAAAGCCUGAUCCAGCCAUGCCGCGUGCAGGAUGAAGGCCUUCGGGUUGUAAACUGCUUUUGUACGGAACGAAAAGACUCUGGUUAAUACCUGGGGUCCAUGACGGUACCGUAAGAAUAAGCACCGGCUAACUACGUGCCAGCAGCCGCGGUAAUACGUAGGGUGCAAGCGUUAAUCGGAAUUACUGGGCGUAAAGCGUGCGCAGGCGGUUAUAUAAGACAGAUGUGAAAUCCCCGGGCUCAACCUGGGAACUGCAUUUGUGACUGUAUAGCUAGAGUACGGCAGAGGGGGAUGGAAUUCCGCGUGUAGCAGUGAAAUGCGUAGAUAUGCGGAGGAACACCGAUGGCGAAGGCAAUCCCCUGGGCCUGUACUGACGCUCAUGCACGAAAGCGUGGGGAGCAAACAGGAUUAGAUACCCUGGUAGUCCACGCCCUAAACGAUGUCAACUGGUUGUUGGGUCUUCACUGACUCAGUAACGAAGCUAACGCGUGAAGUUGACCGCCUGGGGAGUACGGCCGCAAGGUUG
rnacentral:rRNA from 1 species